CAGUCGCCGCGGGAAAACGAAGGGUGCAAGCGUUACUCGGAAUUACUGGGCGUAAAGCGUACGCAGGCGGUUUGUUAAGUCAGAUGUGAAAUCCCCGAGCUUAACUCGGGAACUGCAUUUGAAACUGGCAGGCUAGAGUCUCGUAGAGGGGGGUAGAAUUCCAGGUGUAGCGGUGAAAUGCGUAGAGAUCUGGAGGAACAUCAGUGGCGAAGGCGGCCAUCUGGGACAACACUGACGCUGAAGCACGAAAGCGUGGGGAGCAAACAGGAUUAGAUACCCGAGUAGUCCCUGUCUCUUAUAC
rnacentral:rRNA from 1 species